rnacentral:rRNA from 1 species
UACGUAGGGGGCAAGCGUUGUCCGGAAUCAUUGGGCGUAAAGAGCGCGUAGGCGGUCCGGUAAGUCCGCUGUGAAAGUCCAGGGCUCAACCCUGGAAUGCCGGUGGAUACUGUCGGGCUCGAGUCCGGAAGAGGCGAGUGGAAUUCCUGGUGUAGCGGUGAAAUGCGUAGAGAUCGGGAAGAACACCAGUGGCGAAGGCGACGUGCUGGGUUGCACCUGACGCUGAGAUGCGAAAGUGUGGGGAGCAAACGGG